rnacentral:rRNA from 1 species
ACAGCAGUCGCCACGGUAAAACGGAGGGUGCAAGCGUUAAUCGGAAUUACUGGGCGUAAAGCGCACGCAGGCGGUCUGACAAGUCAGAUGUGAAAUCCCCGGGCUUAACCUGGGAACUGCAUUUGAAACUGUCAGGCUGGAGUCUUGUAGAGGGGGGUGGAAUUCGAGGUGUAGCGGUGAAAUGCGUAGAGAUCUGGAGGAAUACCGGUGGCGAAGGCGGCCCCCUGGACAAAGACUGACGCUCAGGUGCGAAAGCGUGGGGAGCAAACAGGAUUAGAUACCCGUGUAGUCCUGUCUCUUAUACA